GAUGAACGCUAGCGGCAGGCCUAACGCAUGCAAGUCGAGGGGGAGGUUACUUUCGGGUAACUGAGACCGGCGUACGGGUGCGUAACGCGUAUACAAUCUGCCUUUCACUGGGGGAUAGCCCGAAGAAAUUUGGAUUAAUACACCAUAGUAUAGUAAUACGGCAUCGUGAUGCUAUUAAAGCAUAGGUGGCGAAAGAUGAGUAUGCGUUCUAUUAGCUAGUUGGAGAGGUAACGGCUCCCCAAGGCGAUGAUAGAGAGGGGUUCUGAGAGGGAUGUCCCCCACACGGGUACUGAGAUACGGACCAGACUCCUACGGGAGGCAGCAGUGAGGAGUAGUAGACAAUGGUCGGAAGACUGAUCCAGCCAUGCCGCGUGCAGGAUGAAGGUCUUAUGGAUUGUAAGCUGCUUUUGUAAGGGAAGAAUAAGGGCUACGCGUAGUUUGAUGACGGUACCUGACGAAUAAGCAUCGGCUAACUCCGUG
rnacentral:rRNA from 1 species